UAUCUCUCCGUACGGGGAAGGAUGAGAAGCUUCGACUAAGGUUCGAUUCGAGCGAAAGCGAGAAAGCGUUGCCGUAGGCAACGACCCGAAGGGCGAAGC
rnacentral:sRNA from 1 species